rnacentral:lncRNA from 1 species
AAAACGUCCGAUCCCCUCGAUCCCUUCGAUCCCUUCAAUCCCUUAUGCCCUGGUGGCCGUGAGGUGACUCUGAUCCUCUGCUCCCUUCGCCUCGUGUCUCUUUUAAAAGCGAAAAAUGUCCGAUCCCCUCGAUCCCUUCGAUCCCCUCGAUCCCUUAUGCCCUGGUGGCCAUGAGGUGACUCUGAUCCUCUGCUCCCUUCGCCUCGUGUCUCUUUUAAAAGCAAAAAACGUCCGAUCCCCUCGAUCCCUUCGAUCCCUUCGAUCCCUUAUGCCCUGGUGGCCAUGAGGUGACUCUGAUCCUCUGCUCCCUUCGCCUCGUGUCUCAUUUAAAAGCGAAAAACGUCCGAUCCCCUUCGAUCCCCUCGAUCCCUUAUGCCCUGGUGGCCGCGAGGUGACUCUGAUCCUCUGCUCCCUUCGCCUCGUGUCUCUUUUAAAAGCGAAAAACGUCCGAUCCCCUCGAUCCCUUCGAUCCCCUCGAUCCCUUAUGCCCUGGUGGCCAUGAGGUGACUCUGAUCCUCUGCUCCCUUCGCCUCGUGUCUUAUUUAAAAGCGAAAAACGUCCGAUCCCCUCGAUCCCUUCGAUCCCCUCGAUCCCUUAUGCCCUGGUGGCCGUGAGGUGACUCUGAUCCUCUUCUCCCUUCGCCUCGUGUCCCUUUGAAAAGCGAAAAACGUCCGAUCCCCUCGAUCCCUUCGAUCCCCUCGAUCCCUUAUGCCCUGGUGGCCAUGAGGUGACUCUGAUCCUCUGCUCCCUUCGCCUCGUGUCUCUUUUAAAAGCGAAAAACGUCCGAUCCCCUCGAUCCCUUCGAUCCCCUCGAUCCCUUAUGCCCUGGUGGCCAUGAGGUGACUCUGAUCCUCUGCUUCCUUCGCCUCGUGUCUCAUUUAAAAGCGAAAAACGUCCGAUCCCCUGGAUCCCUUCGAUCCCUUCGAUCCCCUCGAUCCCUUAUGCCCUGGUGGCCAUGAGGUGACUCUGAUUCUCUGCUCCCUUCGCCUCGUGUCUCUUUUAAAAGCGAAAAACGUCCGCUCCCCUCGAUCCCUUCGAUCCCCUCGAUCCCUUAUGCUCUGGUGGCCGUGAGUUGACUCUGACCCUCUGCUCCCUUCGCCUCGUGUCUCUUUUAAAAGCGAAAAACGUCCGAUCCCCUCGAUUCCUUCGAUCCCUUAUGUCCGGUGGCAGUGAGGAGACUAUGAUCCUCUGCUCCCUUCACCUCGUGUCAACGGGAAAUACGUCCGAUCCCCUUUACUCGAUAGAACGUGCCAUCAGGAAACGCUCUUCUUCGGUUUCGUGCGUUCAAAUGUUCUUGUCAGUCGACCAGCGUUCCCAUUCAUUACGGCCUUCGAUUCUUGUACUCAAGUAAUUCUUAUGUCCAGAACUGUAAC